rnacentral:rRNA from 1 species
UAUUGAUUUAAAUUUUUUUGUUGUGUUUAUAUAUGUAUUGCGAGUAGGUUGAGCGAAGGUUGUAAGUUUUUUAUAGAUGAGGAAGUACUGAGGAGGAAAAUUUUUAUUUGUGUGGAAUAUUAGGAUUUUUAGUACCUUUUGUAUUAGGGUUGAUUUAUGUGUUGUUACUUUAGUGUUUUCUCGAUUAAUAUCGGGCUAUGGUGUUUUUAUUUUUAUUCGUUGUAUAGAGUUAAAUAGGGUGUUAUAGUUAUGAAAUAUUAUUCAAGUUAUUUUUUAUCUAGUUCUUUGAGAGAUUUAAUUGGUGAUAGUUAUAUUAGUUCGUUAAACAGGGAUAAGCUUGUUUAUUGUUUGUAUAGUAAUGGAGGGUUAAUUCGUUUGUUAGGUUGAUAGUGCUUGUUUUUAUGGAGUUAUUAUUGGACGAUUUUGAUUGGAUUAUUUUUUUUAUUUAUGUGGGGAUUGGGGCGUUAUUUUUAAUUUAUUAUGAUUAGUGAUAGUGAUUAGAUUAGUAAUACUUUAUUUAUUAAUAGGGUGCCACGGAGGUUGUAUUAUUGGAUAGAUGUUUAAUUAGGUUUGAUGAAUUCGGCAAGUAUAGAUUUCUGACUGUUUAGCAAAAACAUUGUUUUUUGUUUGGAUAAAAAAUAAGUUCUGUCCACUGCUAUUAGGUGAAGGGCUGCAGUAUAUUGACUGUAUGAAGGUAGCGUAAUCAUUAGCUUUUUAAUUGGGGGCUGGUAUGAAGGUGAAACAGAGAUUUGCUGUAUUUUUCUUAGGUUAUUAAUUUUAUGUUUGUGUGAAAAAUCACAGAUAGAUAAGAGGGACAAGAAGACCCUAAUAAAUUUUAUUUUUUUAUUUAAUGCGGACAUAGGUUAAGAUUUGUGUAAUUUAGAUAAUUAGAUUUGGCUGGGGCGGUAGUUUAUAAAACACGGAUUAUUAUUUAACUUGUAUUGUGGCGAGUUUUGGACCUAGGCUGUCUAGAUGAGAGAAAAAUUACUGUAGGGAUAACAGCGUAAUUUUGUUUGAGAGUUCUUAUUGACAACAAAGUUUGCGACCUCGAU